AGGGUUUGAUCAUGGCAUGGAGGAACGCUAGCGGCAGGCCUAACACAUGCAAGUCGAGGGGUAACGGGGAAGCUUGCUUCCGCCGACGACCGGCGCACGGGUGCGCACCGCGUAUGGAAUCUACCUUAUACAGGGGAAUAGCCUUUGGAAACGAAGAUUAAUGCCCCAUAGUAUCAUUUUACAGCAUUGUAUUUUGAUUAAAGGCUUCGGCCGGUAUAAGAUGACCAUGCGUCCCAUUAGUUUGUUGGUAAGGUAACGGCUUACCAAGACUACGAUGGGUAGGGGCCCUGAGAGGGGGAUCCCCCACACUGGUACUGAGACACGGACCAGACUCCUACGGGAGGCAGCAGUGAGGAAUAUUGGACAAUGGAGGAGACUCUGAUCCAGCCAUGCCGCGUGCAGGAAGAAUGCCCUAUGGGUAGUAAACUGCUUUUAUACAGGAAGAAAAAGAGCUACGUGUAGCUUACUGACGGUACUGUAAGAAUAAGGACCGGCUAACUCCGUGCCAGCAGCCGCGGUAAUACGGAGGGUCCGAGCGUUAUCCGGAAUUAUUGGGUUUAAAGGGUCCGUAGGCGGGCGAUUAAGUCAGUGGUGAAAGUCUGCAGCUCAACUGUAGAACUGCCUUUGAUACUGGUCGUCUUGAGUUAUAGUGAAGUUGCCGGAAUAUGUAGUGUAGCGGUGAAAUGCAUAGAUAUUACAUAGAACACCGAUUGCGAAGGCAGGUGACUAACUAUAUACUGACGCUGAUGGACGAAAGCGUGGGGAGCGAACAGGAUUAGAUACCCUGGUAGUCCACGCCGUAAACGAUGGAUACUAGCUGUCCGGAACCUUGAGUUCUGGGCGGCCAAGCGAAAGUGAUAAGUAUCCCACCUGGGGAGUACGUUCGCAAGAAUGAAACUCAAAGGAAUUGACGGGGGCCCGCACAA
rnacentral:rRNA from 1 species